UACAGAGGUCUCAAGCGUUGUUCGGAUUCAUUGGGCGUAAAGGGUGCGUAGGCGGCGCGGUAAGUCGGGUGUGAAAUCUCGGAGCUUAACUCCGAAACUGCAUUCGAUACUGCCGUGCUUGAGGACUGGAGAGGAGACUGGAAUUAACGGUGUAGCGGUGAAAUGCGUAGAUAUCGUAAGGAAGACCAGUGGCGAAGGCGGGUCUCUGGACAGUUCCUGACGCUGAGGCACGAAGGUCAGGGGAGCAAACGGG
rnacentral:rRNA from 1 species